UACAGAGGUCUCAAGCGUUGUUCGGAUUCAUUGGGCGUAAAGGGUGCGUAGGCGGCGCGGUAAGUCGGGUGUGAAAUCUUGGAGCUUAACUCCGAAACUGCAUUCGAUACUGCCGUGCUUGAGGACUGGAGAGGAGACUGGAAUUUACGGUGUAGCGGUGAAAUGCGUAGAUAUCGUAAGGAAGACCAGUGGCGAAGGCGGCUUCCUGGCUCAUUUCUGACGCUGAGACGCGAAAGCGUGGGGAGCAAACAGG
rnacentral:rRNA from 1 species